rnacentral:rRNA from 1 species
UACGUAGGGGGCAAGCGUUGUCCGGAUUUACUGGGCGUAAAGAGCGUGUAGGCGGCCAAACAGGUCCGUUGUGAAAACUGGAGGCUCAACCUCCAGACGUCGACGGAAACCGUGUGGCUAGAGUCCGGAAGAGGAGAGUGGAAUUCCUGGUGUAGCGGUGAAAUGCGCAGAUAUCAGGAAGAACACCAAUGGCGAAAACAGCUCUCUGGGACGGUACUGACGCUGAGACGCGAAAGCGUGGGGAGCGAACAGG